rnacentral:lncRNA from 1 species
UUUGCGCUUCAUUUUGCUGCCAAAUUUUGAUGGGCAGAUGGCGAUCUUCUUCAACAUACAUUAAAAAAAUGUGAUUUCUUGGAAUCAGUUGGAAGCGCAGGUGCACUACUUCUGAAUAGUAUGGAUUGGCUUUCAUAUAUACCUUUCUUUCAUUUGCAUCUCAAAAUCUUGCUCGAAAAUUUAUUUCAUCCUGACAUUUUCCAAAUGGAUAACUAUAAUAAAUAUAUUUAUUCAUCUAUGUUGGUCCAUGGUGAUCAUGAAGGCAUCAAUUUGAGUUCAAAUGGAUCUUCCAAAACCUCCAUCUUUAAUUUCAUUAUCUGGUAUGUUUACUUUUUAUGUUUACUAAAGUUGGAUCCGAACGUGAAAAGGUGAAACACAUUAUUAUUUUUACUUUUUAUGCGCCUCGGUUUUACUUGUCUGAACAAUGCUAUGUGGAAUUAAUGGAGGAGUUUGAACAGUAGAUAAACUAAUAAAGAUGCAAUAGAUUGAGGUGGUGUGAAUAAAAAGCUAAGUGCCUCGAGCAAAUUAUUCGUCCAAUAAGAGAAGAUUUAACUGUUUAUUGAUCUCGUUACAGUUUUAUUUAUAGGUAUUGAUAUCCUUAUCCUCGAUGAAACAUAGUGUUGAAGAAAAAAAAACAAUUUAAUUGCUCUCUGUUUUUUUAUAGUAUAUAUUUGCAAUGAAAUCUCAAUAUUCACAUAUUACGAUUUAUUUAAUAUAUAAUGUAUAUAUAUUCGUGAUCUGGUAUAUCAACUCUGUUUAUUGUCGAUAUUGAUUGCUUGUUAUGGAGAUGAGCUUGUUAAAGCCUAUGAGAUUUAUAAUUCACAUUAUACUCUUCUAUUGCUAAUAGACAAAUGGGAUUAAGUAAUAAUCUUGUGUGUGUGUUUAUGUAUACAUAUAUAAUUAUAACAAAUACGUAGUUCAAGUUCCGUUGCAACACCGAAAAUAUUUUGUGGCCGAAUCGGACAUUUGUUUUUAAAUAAAAUGCUAAAUUAAUUUAGAAUUUUUUAAUCAUGACAAUAAACAUGUAGUCAGUAAUCUUCAUGUGGUACGGCUGUAAUUGUUUUUAUUCCUGUAGUUGCUAUGUAUUUGUAGAAGUUUAUAUGUAUAUUUAUUUUUUGUGAAAAACUAGCGUGAAAGCUACAUUAUGGGAUUGAUGCUCUGCAUAAUGUUCAAUGCACCGUCGUGUUUGUACGAUAGGAGAGAAGACAACUCAACUAUUUCCGAUGCACUGUCGUUCAAUAAUUAUAGGCGUGUUGGUUCUUAAUUGUCUUUUUCUUUUCUCAGGCUGUGGAAGGGACUCAAAUUUGUGGGGCGUCGAGAAUUAUAGGCGUUUAAUUAAAUCCAAGUUGUUUUGAUGAAGGUCUCCUUAAUUGCUCAAUAAAUCUUGAACAUGCCAUAAGAAUUAUGCAUAUAUAGUACUAAUGAUUGCCAUUAAAUAAUUAGUGUCUUAAUUUUGUUUUGAAAACAGCAUAGAUAUUUGGUGUUACGAAUCCAAAGGAUUAUGACAUAUUGUUUGCAGACACUUGUGUGCAUGCUCACAGGGAGGAAAAUCCGGAAUGAAAAUGCUCGUGCACGGUUGUAACGAUAGAUGUGAGCAAAAAUGUUAACUGUUUCCGUUAAUUUUUAAAAUAUUAAUUCCUUUCAUUUUUUGUUUAUAGACCCAAUAAUUUUUCUAAUUUAAUUUACGAUUUUGUAGAUGUUGCACCCGAUGAUCAUACACUUCCAAUCUACAUAUAAUAAUGCACACAUAUUUAUAUGUAUGCUUAGUGAGUAGUUAUUUGUAUAGAUCUAUGGUGCAAAUCACUCGAUGUUUUUUAUAUGAUGCAGCAGCAUCUCAUAGACCUUUAAUUUACUCGCAAUCACUAGACUUAAUAUACACACAUAUGUAAUAGUAUAUUUCAGUAAAAUUUCAUCGGAUGUGACAUAGAACAUAAAAUAAAUGCAGGAUGUGACAUAGAACAUAAAAUAAAUGCAACCGAUCUUAUUUUUUUUGCAUUCAUUUUGUUUAUAGUUACUUACACAUUUCCCUCAAAUCUCUUCCAAUUUUUAUUCUCUUCUUUCUCUUCACCAUUGUCGCCACCGUUCUUACAUUCUUCGCCACCACCACACUCCUCAAAUGUAGAAAUUUGUGCAUGCCCUAUGCCGUUUAAUUGAAGCAAAGAAUAACCGCUCAUGUAUCAUCUUUGGGUUGCACAACAUUUAUCUUACUGGCUCCACAAAAUGAACAAAAUGCAGUAUGAAACUGAACUAUCCAUGUGAGUAACUUAAGAAUAGUCGAUUCUUCUGUUCUUAAGGUCGGUAUUAUAUAUGGUCAGUCACUACGGGUGUAUUCUAAAAUAAUGCAGCCGUUUCCAUUUAAUAUUCACGAACGAACCCGUUUGUUAUGAUAUUUGGCUAUUUUCUUUGUGAAAUUUUGAAGGCAAACGUUUUUGGUAUUUCUAUGUUCUUGCAGGAGUAUUGAUGCUAUAGUGAUUCUUAACUAUCAUAUGCAGAAGAGAACUGGAACAGUACGAUCUGAUGUGAAACAACCAUGUCUCUACAAGAAAAGUACUCUUCUUAUUUCUUCCAAUUUUUUUCUUCAAAUUUUGUUAUGUGCAUCCUAAUUCUAUGUAUAUUGGUGUUCAUUGAAGAAGAUAUUUCAACUGCAGAUUGAUAAAAAUAAAUGGAAUUUCUUGGCGGACUACUAAGGAGCUUUGAGAUUUCCAUGUUUGAGAUGUACUAAUUUUUUUUGCUGAUCCAUGCUACACUCAAGACUUAUAUAUUAUGUUGGCGAGGAAUUCCUCUUAUUUUAAUGCCCAAAGAGGAUUAUAUUUUUUAACGACAAUAGUUAUGUUGGAU